ACUGGGCGUAAGCGCACGCAGGCGGUCUGUCAAGUCGGAUGUGAAAUCCCCGGGCUCAACCUGGGAACUGCAUUCGAAACUGGCAGGCUAGAGUCUUGUAGAGGGGGGUAGAAUUCCAGGUGUAGCGGUGAAAUGCGUAGAGAUCUGGAGGAAUACCGGUGGCGAAGGCGGCCCCCUGGACAAAGACUGACGCUCAGGUGCGAAAGCGUGGGGAGCAAACAGGAUUAGAUACCCUGGUAGUCCACGCCGUAAACGAUGUCGACUUGGAGGUUGUGCCCUUGAGGCGUGGCUUCCGGAGCUAACGCGUUAAGUCGACCGCCUGGGGAGUACGGCCGCAAGGUUAAAACUCAAAUGAAUUGACGGGGGCCCGCACAAGCGGUGGAGCAUGUGGUUUAAUUCGAUGCAACGCGAAGAACCUUACCUACUCUUGACAUCCACAGAACUUGGCAGAGAUGAAU
rnacentral:rRNA from 1 species